rnacentral:rRNA from 1 species
GGUAAUGCCGGAUGCUCCGACUCCUCGCAUGGGGUGUCGGGAAAGAUUUCAUCGGUAUGGGAUGGGGUCGCGUCCUAUCAGGUAGUCGGCGGGGUAACGGCCCACCGAGCCUACGACGGGUAGCCGGCCUGAGAGGGCGACCGGCCACAUUGGGACUGAGAUACGGCCCAGACUCCUACGGGAGGCAGCAGUGGGGAAUAUUGCACAAUGGGCGCAAGCCUGAUGCAGCGACGCCGCGUGCGGGAUGACGGCCUUCGGGUUGUAAACCGCUUUUGAUCGGGAGCAAGCCUUCGGGUGAGUGUACCUUUCGAAUAAGCACCGGCUAACUACGUGCCAGCAGCCGCGGUAAUACGUAGGGUGCAAGCGUUAUCCGGAAUUAUUGGGCGUAAAGGGCUCGUAGGCGGUUCGUCGCGUCCGGUGUGAAAGUCCAUCGCUUAACGGUGGAUCUGCGCCGGGUACGGGCGGGCUGGAGUGCGGUAGGGGAGACUGGAAUUCCCGGUGUAACGGUGGAAUGUGUAGAUAU